CAUGCUGAGCUGAAUGCCAUAGUGAACGCAAGCGCGAAUGCUGAUGUGAAAGGCUGCACCAUGUAUGUGACUUUGUUCCCCUGCAAUGAGUGUACCAAACUCAUCAUCCAGGCAGGUCUGAAGGAAGUGGUUUAUCUUUGUGACAAGUACCAUAAGACACCUGAAACCAAAGCAUCCAAAAAGAUGCUUGACAUGGCGGGGAUACUGCACAGGCGCUUUGUGCACACAAUGCCUCAAAUUGCCAUUGAUUUGCCUUUCAUCGAAACUGAUGAAAAUGCCUAAGACUCAUCUUGGGGAGCUGCUGAAUGGGGCAGUGAGGCAGAAGAAGAAUCAGCAGAAAACAGAUUUGGGACUGGUUUGGAGAAUAAUAUGACCAAGACUAAUUUGCAGGUCAAAUCUGAAAUUAGAAUAUUUGGUUUGACAAAUUAUAGAACAGAAUGUAAUAAAAGAAACUGGGAAAAAAGCAUAUGAAAUGAAAAAAGAAGUAACGAAAUGGGAGACUAAUAAUAGUAAUAAUAAAGCAUUAAUAUGGUUAAAA